rnacentral:misc_RNA from 1 species
GCCUUGGAAUCACCAGCCUGCAUGUGCAGACAACACUAGUCUGUUGCUGGGACUUUCCACGUGAAAACCAGCAGCCGCGACGCCAACCUCGGUCGUGGUCCACAGAUCAAACACUAGUGGCCCAUUGACCUGCAAGCACCUGGAGUGCUGCUGGCCGUGGGUUAAAAUAUGACCGGCCUCACCUAGAAAUAGGUGAGAACACGCGUUCCGUAGGUGAACCUGCGGAAGGAUCAUUACCGAGUUAGGGUCUUUCAGGCCCGACCUCCCACCCUAUGUGUACCUACCUUUGUUGCUUUGGCGGGUCCGCUGGGGAGACCCACCGGCGGCUUCACAGGCGGCCGAGUGCCCGUCAGAGACCCAUCAAACUCUGUUAAUUGUGCCGUCCGAGUACAAAUUCAAUAAACAAAACUUUCAACAACGGAUCUCUUGGUUCU